rnacentral:rRNA from 1 species
GUCUACGGCUAUGCUACCCUGAACAAGCUCGAUCCUGUCUGAUCUCAGAAGCUAAGCAGGGUCGGACCUGGUUAGUACUUGGAUGGGAGACCACCUAGGAAGACCAGGUGCUGUAGGUG